UCUGGCCACUUCUUGAACCUG
rnacentral:misc_RNA from 1 species